GUCUACAGCCACACCACCCUGAACAAGCCCGAUCCUGUCUGAUCUCAGAAGCUAAGCAAGGUCAGGCCUGGUUAGUACUUGGAUGGGAGACCACCUAGGAAGACCGGGUGCUAUAGGUG
rnacentral:rRNA from 1 species